rnacentral:rRNA from 1 species
CGCAUCUGUGCAUGCAGCAUAUCAAUAAGCGGAGGAAAAGAAACUAACAAGGAUUCCCCUAGUAACGGCGAGUGAAGCGGGAAGAGCUCAAAUUUGAAAUCUUAAAGGGUUUCCCUUUACGAAUUGUAGUUUAAAGAAGUGUUUUCUGUUGAGGUUUUGGUAAAAGUUCUUUGGAAUAGGACAUCAUAGAGGGUGAGAAUCCCGUAUUUGACCUUUACUUUCAACUUUGUCGAUACACUUUCAAAGAGUCGGAUUGUUUGGGAAUGCAGUCCAAAAUGGGUGGUAAAUUUCAUCUAAAGCUAAAUAUUGGCGAGAGACCGAUAGCGAACAAGUACCGUGAGGGAAAGAUGAAAAGAACUUUGAAAAGAGAGUUAAACAGUACGUGAAAUUGUCAAAAGGGAAGCGUUUGACACCAGUGUUGUUUUUCUGAAAAUCAAUUAAAGAACUGUUUAUGCUAAGUUGUUUAGACUUUAUCAGCUAACUGUUUAGUUUUGAGCUUUUCUUUAAUGCACUUUUCAGUUAACAAGUCAACAUCAAUUUCUUUUGCUGUAAAGAAGCUUGAGGAAGGUGGCUUGAGAUUCGUCUUAAGUGUUUAUAGCCUCUUGCCUAUGCAGUCGGAGAGAUUGAGGUCUGCAGCGUAGAUCCUUCGGGGCUAAAUGCAUUUGUGCUAAGUUAUAACAUUUUAUAGACAACUUGUUGACUAUGAUUUGUCUUGUAGCUUACUCGCUUAUGUUAUUUUACCUACGCUUAGGAUGUUGAACGCACACAGAGUCUC